GAGUUGGGGGACAUCAUUUAAAUACCAUGCCUUCAUCUGUGUGACAAAUGAAGUUGCUAGAGUUUUCAAGAAAAAUGUGAUGCAGCGUGAUCACAUGUAUUCGUGUAAACUAAUGUUUAAAGGCCCCCUCAGAUGAGGAGAUGAGACCACACCAUGGCAGAGCAAAUACCUUAAAUAAAGCUGUUCUGGCUCAUAAAAAAUUUAAUAGGAUUAAAUGCCUUCUGUAAAGCUUCAUACACGUUAUGGUGAUGUCCAAGCAUCAUGUAGAUGACUGAGACAGCACAGAGUGCUGAUCCCCUGCAAAAAAGGCUGCUGUCCUGAGAUUGGGUAUUGGGAGCCUGCUGACCAGCAAAAUGAUAAAUUAGGAUUUUGUUCAAAGACAGCUGGGUCCCGGCUCAUGCCCUCCACCCACAACAUUAAAUGUUUUUCAUGAAAAUGGAAAGAAAGGCUGAGGCAUCACACUGAGUUGCUUUGAAUUUUAUUAAGUUACUUACAUGAAGAGAAUACAGUGGUUGAAACAUUUAUCCAUAAUUCCAGAAGAUGCCAGAAGGGCUGCGGUAUGAGUCAAACCAUAAAAUUAAAACACAGGAGAAGCCACAUGAGACGGACGAGAAAUUAGAUUGCAUAAGUUCCACGAUUCAUUCUGAUAUAUAACUGAGAACAAAAGUAAAGUCUUUUUUUUUUUUUCUAUGUUUUUAGUAUUCACAUGGCACUGAUUUCUGUAAAGCAACUGUGAGCUGGAAGAACACUGCUUCAAAUCCCUAAAUCCUCAGCAGUUAAUUUUCUUUUACUGGAGCUGUGGGAUUUGAAAUAAUGAUUAAAAAUACAGGGGAGAAUGCAUAACCAGAGCUGGGAGUUUAUUCUUAGCUGUAAUGACUAAUAAUUUGUAACUGCUCACACUAAAUGAAGUCUUGUUUGAAAAUGUGUACAUUGUGGAUGAAACAUUGUUACAGAGAAAUGUUCUGAUAUUCUGCAUUGAUCGCUUAAAGCGUUGGUUUGGACUGUUUGAUGGAGAUUGCAAUAAAACCUUGUCCGUCCUCCAGGAAUUCUGCAUCAAAGGGGCUACACAGCAGGUAACACAUAACUGGUCUGAGAUACGAUAGUCAGCUUACUUUUUUCACAGCUUCCAUUGCGUCACUUAAUUCUUCAUUUCUAUGAUUUGUGUUAAAAGCCCAGCAGGUUAAAAAAAAAAAAAAAAAAUGAUUCCAGCUUUUUUUCUCCUGGCUCUCUGAUAUCAAGUAAAAUGUUCAGUAAAAUGAGCUUGAAUCUCGUAGAGUGGGAGGUGUUUGCAUGGAGCUUGUAAAGAGCACAUAAAGGAGAAAGG